AUCAGAAAAUAAUUUAUUUUUCCGAAAUUUACUUUUAAAAAAUAUAUUUUUCAACAGGAACUAAUGAAAAAAAGUACCGCUAGUAAUUAAUAUUAAUUAACAGAAACACACUGUGUGUAUUAUAAUUAAUAGAAUUUGUUUAGCGUGGGAAAACACUGUACAGCAGGCAUGAUUCAUUGUAGAUUAUAAUAUUGGAAUUAUAUUUUUUCCCCUCAAGAACUACUUGAACUGGUCAGCAGGCAUAGAUUGACCCAAACCGAUCCACAAAAAACUUUUCAAACCUAACCAGCCAUCUACAUUCAUCAUGCAUCAUAAACCCAACCUUUUAAUUUGGGAGAGAAAAGAAAAAGGGAAAGAACAACACAAAAGGUACGUGACCGCCCAUCUUUAUCCUUCUAAAUUUCCUGCCCAACGUACGUGUGAAGAGUAUAAAAGAAGGAAGGAAAAGACCGGCUUGGGUCCAGCUCCUUCCUACUGCGGCGGCGCACUGCUCGCACAAAACUCCACAACAGGGAGAAGCAACAUCAACUUAGUUAUUAUAUUCCCUUAUAACGCAAGCCAAACAGACCCCUUGGCCUCUUCCCCUUCCGCCUCCUCCCUCCCUCCCUUCUUAUGUUGUAGCUAGCUAGCUAGCAGGAGUGAUCAUCAUGGCUCUGGUAAUGAACCGCAACUACAGCUACAACACUAGCCAUCAUCUGGGGCCAACUCCGCUGUCGAGGAGCAGCAGUAGCGGUACUUGGAAUGAGUUAUUAGGAGGAUAUAGCAAUAGUUCAGAGCAUUACAGCAGCAGCAGCUCAGUGGUGAUGAUGGAGAAGAGACAGUUAUUUCUUAGAAGCUACCAGUUCUGCAGGAAAAGAACCCUAACAGAAAGGAUCAAGGGUUCUUUGAUAAGAGCGAAGAAAGUGAUGUGGCUGAGACUAAGAUCUGCUCGUAAAAUUAGAAGGUUGGUUUGGUCCAGACUCCGUUAUGCAUUCUACUGUCGCCGCAGAAGAAGAUUUCUUCGCCUCAUCAACCAUAAUCAUCACAACUCAUCCACCUGCACUUUCUGGUAGGAGGACUAUAAAUAUAUAUAUUGGGCUGUUUCUUUCUUUCUUUCUUUCUUUUCUUUUUCUAGUAUUAUUCUUCAGGGGAAAAAACUGUUUCUUCCUAGUUUCUCUAGUCUGUGUUUUAUGCCUGGCUCUAGCUAGCCUGGGAAUAUUGAAGGGCUAAAAUCCUUUUUACAAUAUUGAUGUUCAAUUAAGUUGAUUUUUGGUAA